rnacentral:rRNA from 1 species
GCAGGCGCGUAAAUUACCCAAUCCUGAUUCGGGGAGGUAGUGACAAGAAAUAACAAUACGGGGCGCUUUGCGUCUUGUAACUGGAAUGAGUACAAUCUAAAUCCCUUAACGAGGAUCAAUUGAAGGGCAAGUCUGGUGCCAGCAGCCGCGGUAAUUCCAGCUCCAAUAGCGUAUAUUAAAGUUGUUGCAG